rnacentral:rRNA from 1 species
GGAAGGGAGGGGCGAGAGGGGGGGGGAGGAGGUAGGGGCCGAGCGUGGGCCGGAGUUACGGGGCGGAAAGGGCGCGGAGGCGGCUUCGUGCGUCACCCGGGAAAGCCCCCGGCUCAACCGGGGAGGGUCGGGUGAAACGGCGGAGCUGGAGGCAGCGAGAGGCUGGUGGAAUUCCCGGAGUAGUGGUGAAAUGCGUAGAGAUCGGGAGGAACACCGGUGGCGAAGGCGGCCAGCUGGCGCUGACCUGACGCUGAGGCGCGAAGGCGUGGGGAGCGAACGGGAUUAGAUACCCCUGUAGUC